AAAGUUAUUGACAUACAAACGUAUGUCUCCCCGUGCCAAUCGGAGCUGAAAAUGUCGACCGAGACCAAGAAAGCAAACCAAGUAGCCAGCUUAAUUUAUAAUCAUUAGCUGGGCCUGGAUUUAGGGCUUGUAGCUCAGCUGGUAGAGCGCCGCCUUUGCAAGGCGGAGGCCCUGGGUCCGAAUCCCAGCAAGUCCAUUUGAACCAAUGCACACAUUGAGGCCGACUCGAUGUGGAAGGGUGGAGGUCCGUUCUUAACGGAGCGGUCCGACGAUACCAUGCACAAGCUUUGCGACCAGACGCUCACUGAGUUUAGUGGGGCAUA
rnacentral:tRNA from 1 species